CGUAGGGUGCGAGCGUUAAUCGGAAUACUGGGCGUAAAGCGUGCGCAGGCGGUUUGUUAAGAUAGGCGUGAAAUCCCCGGGCUCAACCUGGGAACUGCGCUUAUGACUGGCAAGCUAGAGUACGGCAGAGGGGGGUGGAAUUCCACGUGUAGCAGUGAAAUGCGUAGAGAUGUGGAGGAACACCAAUGGCGAAGGCAGCCCCCUGGGUCGAUACUGACGCUCAUGCACGAAAGCGUGGGUAGCAAACAGGAUUAGAUACCCUGGUAGUCCACGCCCUAAACGAUGUCAACUAGGUGUUGGGAGGGUAAAACCUUUUAGUACCGGAGCUAACGCGUGAAGUUGACCGCCUGGGGAGUACGGCCGCAAGGUUAA
rnacentral:rRNA from 1 species